AGGAGAAAAAAAAGGUUAAAGUGACAGCCAGCCUGCCAUAUAUAAUAGCUAGGAUGCAUAGCGAUUUAACUGCUUACAAGCACACGCUGCAGCUUACAUGACCAUGUUUAUGUGUGUCUGUCGCCAGUCAUACAUAAACAGACUGAAACUGAUUAGACUACCCUUCAGGGAGGGAACAGAUUGCAGAGAAGAAUAAAAAGCUAAAUUCGCGCUACAAUCCUUGCCUCACUUGGUUUCGUCCAUAAGGUGAGCUAAGUGUGGCUGGACGGUAAAUGUAACUCUGUAUCUGAUCCAUUUAUAUGACAUGUAUGGCUUAACAUUUGAUAAUUUUUCUACAUUAAAGCCUGCUUUUAUAUAUAACCAAAACGCAUUAUUUCUCAAGGUAAUUUACACCCAGGGGUUCUGGUCGGGUCCGUCCUGGUGGAGCACAGAAACAAAAUGAAUUAGCUCCAACAAAACGUGCAAAGGACGAGAUGCUAACCAGUUUUUUCCAUACAUGCUACAUGACGGUGCGGCAUUAUCUCUGUGGCUACCAAUGGUUAGACGCAUACUUUUUCCAUAAACCAAUACUUUUCUAAUCAUACUUACUUAUAAAGUAUAUGAACGUUAGUCUUCUUUCUCGAUAAAAACUGUUCACUGCAAAUCAGCGGUUACACCGAGGGCUGCCUGUCGUUAUGAUUGACAGCUGCUGCUGUCCUUUGUUCCUCGUUAAAGGUUACGCAAUAAAAUUACAAAUUUGGUUUUCAACCUUAUCCGUUUCUGCAGCCGACCGUGCAGCGUCCUCUGAGCAUUUUUACAGUGAAACAAACUGAAUAAAAUAAAUAUUAAGCUGAAGAUGAAGAGGAACUUCAUCUUUCAGCAGGACAACGACCUAAAAGACACAUCUAAAUCAACAAAAGAAUGGCUUCACCGGAAUAAGAUUAAGGCUGUGGAAUGGCCCAGCCAGAGUCCAGACCUGAAUCCCAUCAAACACCUGUGGGGUGAUCUGAAGAGGGCUGUGCACAGGAGAUGCCCACGCAAUCUAUCAGAUUUGGAGCAGUUUUGCAAAGAAGAGUGAGCAAAUAUUCCCACAUCAAAUGUACCACACUGAUAUUUGGUGUGUAGACUUUUUAUAUCCACUGUAGGUCUUUUUAAAAUAGUUUUAGUACUUGGGUCAUUUUAAACUUGCUUGUUUAGUAGUUAGUUGGUUUUAAAUUUGCUUGUUUAGUAGUUAGUCGGUUUUAAAAUGGUUUCUUUAGUAGAUAGUUUUAAAAUUGUUUCUUUAGUAGUUAGGUCCUCUCCAUGGGCUGCCACCUUAUCGUGGUGGAGGGGUUUAAGUGUCCAAGUGAUCCCAGGAGCUAUGCUGUCUGGGGUUCUAUGCCCCUGGUAGGGGCACCCCAGGCAGACAGAUACUAGGUGAGGAACCAGACUAAGCGCAGCCCAAAGAUCCCUUAUGAUGAGUUAUAACAAUGGACUUAGUGUUCCCUUGCUGGGACGUGGGUCACCGGGGCCCCACUCUACAGCCAGGCCUGGAGAUGGGGCACGUUGGCGAGCGCCUGGUGGCCGGGCUUUUACCCAUGCUAACAUUAGCAUUAUGGCUAUCAUUAGCAUAUAGAAGGUUAUCGCUAGAAUGUUGACAAGCACAAAAUUAGUGAACUAACACAAUUCAGUGUGCUAACAUUAGUGUAUAAAUUAAAAUUAUUCAACAUGAUAAACUUAGCUUAAGUGACAUCAGUAGCUCCUGUGAUGUCACCAACAUGUUAAUUUACAUUGACUUAAUCCAUUCAGUAUGAUAAAUAUUGCUAGUAAAUAUGACAUUAUGUUAAAUGCUUAUUUUAGAUAUAAGGUUAAUACUAGCAUGAUGGCUAUCAUUAGCAUAUUGAGUCACUAGUAGUAUCAACCUGCUAGUGACUCAAUAUGCUAAUGAUAGCCAUCAUGCUAACAUUAGCCUUGUACCUAAAAUAAGCAUUUUACAUAAUUUCAUAUUUACUAGCAAUAUUUCCCAUACUGACUGGAUUAGGUCAAUGUAAGUAAACAUGCUGGUGACAUCACAGGUGUCACUGUGCUGUCACCUGUGAUGUGUUAUCACACAUCACAGGUGUCAUUCAGUAUGCUAACAUCAUUCAGUAUGCUAUAAUUAGUGUACAAGUUAAAAUGAUACAAAAUGCUAAGGUUAGCAUAAAUGCUGUCGGUAACGUGUGAUGUCACCAGCAUGUUAAUUUACAGAGACUUAAUCCAUUCAGUAUGAUAAAUAUCGCUAGUAAAAAUGAAAUUAUGUAAAAUGCCUUGUAUUUUAGAUACAAGGCUAAUGUUAGCAUGAGGGCAUGGGAUUGCCACUCAUCCCACAAAAUAUGGAAUCGUAUUUGGCUGUUAAAUGUUGCGUGAACCGAUACGAUUUGUUGCGUAUUUCUAUAAAUGUCCGAUACACUCGCCUGUCACACACACACCCCAACACUAAGUGAAACCAUAAUGACCAAAAUAAAACAGAGGAAAGCUCAACUAAAUUGUAGUGGUGGGAUCAUAUUCAUGCCUACGGUUUUUGAUGUCUGUCAUGGCAGAGCGGGUGGAGAUCUGAGUAGUGUGACAUCACGUGCAAAGGGUCAAAAUCACUCUUUGGUUACCUAGCAACUCACUCUCUCACUCUUGGUUACCUAGCAACAACCGGUCAAGUUACUGGUGCAACCAUGCUUUGUAACUGCUUGAAAAUAAGUUGUUAGCCACAGAAAAGAAAAUUGCACACAACGUUGGUCAUCAACAAGUAAAUUCAGCAGAAGAUAAUUAUAUUAUUUAAUGAUUUCUUUCAUUUCCAUUAUUUUCUUUAUUUUAAUUUUCCUCUCAGGCAGUCUUUCUAGAUUGUUUAAAUACCACAGACACAAAUGAAUCAGGGUUAUUAACCAAAAUCUCAUAUUGGAGCCAUAAUUCCAUGCCUAUCGAACCUUUCCUAUAAGAUUUCAGAAGUUCCUGAACGGACUGUAGUUUAUUUUCCAUUGACUAUUUCUGAUUUAAAUACAUUUGAAGAAAAACAAAAAGAAACCAAUGGAAGUAACUCUUAAUUUUGCACUACUACUAGGUUUAAUAAUUCAAGACCUCGCUUUAAGAAAUACUUCAAUAAAUGGAGUUAGUGAGUAACUUACGACCGG